UACGUAGGGCGCAAGCGUUUGUCCGGAAUUAUUGGGCGUAAAGAGCUCGUAGGCGGUUCGUCGCGUCGGCUGUGAAAACCCGAGGCUCAACCUCGGGCCUGCAGUCGAUACGGGCGGACUGGAGUUCGGCAGGGGAGACUGGAAUUCCUGGUGUAGCGGUGAAAUGCGCAGAUAUCAGGAGGAACACCGGUGGCGAAGGCGGGUCUCUGGGCCGAUACUGACGCUGAGGAGCGAAAGCGUGGGGAGCGAACAGG
rnacentral:rRNA from 1 species